AACAAACGCUGGCGGCGUGCCUAACACAUGCAAGUCGUACGAGAAAGGGUCCUUCGGGAUCUGAGUAAAGUGGCGCACGGGUGAGUAACGCGUGGAUAAUCUGCCCCUCAGUUGGGAAUAACUCAUCGAAAGGUGGGCUAAUACCGAAUAAUACUGUGAGACUUUGGUCGAUCAGUCAAAGAGAGCCUCUGCUUGCAAGCCCUCGCUGAAGGAUGAGUCCGCGUACCAUUAGCUAGUUGGUAGGGUAAUGGCCUACCAAGGCGACGAUGGUUAGUGGGUCUGAGAGGAUGAUCAGCCACACUGGACCUGAGACACGGUCCAGGCUCCUACGGGAGGCAGCAGUGAGGAAUCUUGCGCAAUGGGGGCAACCCUGACGCAGCAACGCCGCGUGAGUGAGGAAGGUCUUCGGAUCGUAAAGCUCUGUCAGUUGGGAAGAACUACCCAAGGGUGAAUACCCCUUGGGCUUGACGGUACCGACAGAGGAAGCACCGGCUAACUCCGUGCCAGCCGCCGCAGUAACAC
rnacentral:rRNA from 1 species